UUGCAUGAAGGGAGCAGUGUUCAUUUCGAUCCUGAAAGCUGUACCAGACCAGGAAUAAUGGAACACAGGACCAUUUCUCAAGUGAAUAUUAAAUUGCCUCUUGAGGAUUGGAAAACUGAAAUCUGAUCUGGUAAGGCAUCUUGCUUCAGUUUCAUCAGCCUCCUCUCCCAGCCUUCAGAUGAGGUGUAUCACUGGCUGCCAGCACUUACUGCAGAUCCAGGUCUUCCGCUAGUUGUGGCCAUGAAUGACAAGAGAAUGUUCUAGAGCACACCACCCAGAGAGAAGAGGCCCAGGUGUGCACCAGACUCCCAGGCUCUUGCUUUGUCCCAAUGUGAUGUGUGGUCUUCACCCGGCACCCUGUCACCAAGUGGUCCCAGACAGGAUACUUGGAGUCGAGAUCAAACCUGAGCUGGAAGCCUAACUAGGCCCUGUAGACUAGAGGCAAGUUUGUUCGAGUUUUCAUUUCUUUGUCUAUAGAGUUGAAUAAUUAUAGCA